AUUGUGUAAAUAUCGUGCGGAAUAUAUCCCAAGACUCUAAAAACGUGUUGUUCAUAAAGUUCUCAGUACUUAACCAUGAAUGUCAAGUCUAAUGGGUAGAUCGAAGUAGAAAAGUUAUUCGUUCUUAAUGCUCUAAUAUGGCARUCUACUGUGCUGYGCACUAUCUGUUUAUUUUAUAGGCAGGUGGUGCACAGCGCACACAGGUUGUCAUGGGCUGGUUGAAUAAUACAUUW
rnacentral:snoRNA from 1 species